AUUGAACGCUGGCGGCAGGCCUAACACAUGCAAGUCGAACGGUAACAGGAAGCAGCUUGCUGCUUUGCUGACGAGUGGCGGACGGGUGAGUAAUGUCUGGGAAACUGCCCGAUGGAGGGGGAUAACUACUGGAAACGGUAGCUAAUACCGCAUAACGUCGCAAGACCAAAGAGGGGGACCUUAGGGCCUCUUGCCAUCGGAUGUGCCCAGAUGGGAGUAGCUAGUAGGUGGGGUAACGGCUCACCUAGGCGACGAUCCCUAGCUGGUCUGAGAGGAUGACCAGCCACACUGGAACUGAGACACGGUCCAGACGCCUACGGGAGGCAGCAGUGGGGAAUAUUGCACAAUGGGCGCAAGCAUGAUGCAGCCAUGCCGCGUGUAUGAAGAAGGCCUUCGGGUUGUAAAGUACUUUCAGCGGGGAGGAAGGGAGUAAAGUUAAUACCUUUGCUCAUUGACGUUACCCGCAGAAGAAGCACCGGCUAACUCCGUG
rnacentral:rRNA from 1 species